rnacentral:lncRNA from 1 species
AACCAGAAGGAAUCUGCACAAGUACUUCACAUUCAUAUUAUAAAUUCUCUUCAUCAAACAUUUACAAGCUUACAAUAUAUGCAAUUCACUGAUUACGUGUGAAGAAUUACAUCAUAAUUUAGUAUCUGCAGUUUCAAGGCGUCCAAGUUGUACAGAAUGGAACAAGCACAAAGAGUAAAGCUUGUAAGGUCUUCUAGGUGAGCUCAAAGCAUAUGGUUACGGCAAGGUAUCUUAACCCGUCUUCAGGAACAUUUCCAACCUGGACAGUAAGAGAAAAAUUGAAAAAUACAUAUAUAAUAAAACAUUAUCUGCAUUACAUUGAUUUACAACACUCAAAAGAGUCUAUUGAGUGCACCAUUCCUGUUUUAUAAGACAUACGUCUACAACAUCAAGAGAAUUUCUAAUCAAAUUUCCUUUCAAGGCAUCAACUGAAUAUUCAAUUUAAUAGGAAAAUAAAAAAUGUCAGCAGUUUCAUGCAUUGACACGUAAAUUAAGCACAUUUAGCUCACCGCAAUUACAUCAUAUGAUUACCUAUGAUAUAAAUUUUAGUUUCCUGUAUGUGAAGAUUCCAUAGAACACCGUCCAGAAAACUGCACAUAAGACAAAAUAGGAAGUGAUUAAAGCAAGUGACAUCCACAACUUGUAUGAAUUUUUGACAUCAUAGGAUCUUGUAUUUUGGUAUAAACACACAAAGAAUGUAGUUCAAGAUAUGAAAUAGUUUCAUCCCAUGGAAAACAGCAAAAUUCAAACAUUUUUCUAGCACAAACAUGACAGUAGUAUAGAAACCAAAAUGUUUGGUGUUAUGUUGAAGUGGUUUACAACAUUCUUACUAGUCUUUUGGGCUCCCAGUCACAUGUGCCAAUGUUCUUAUCCAAUGUACUAGCACUUUCUGCAAAAAAAUAGAACAAGUUAGAUGUCACAAAGAUGGUGCUGUUUCCAGUCUUACAUGGUCAAUCAGUUGGCAAACAUAUAUGCAGAACACCUAUUUAAUCACAAAUUGAGUGGCCCGAGACAUGCAACAAAAUAGACGCGUAGUUGACAGAACACCUGUUUCUACUAGUAUUGAUUUUAGACUUCCAGUGUGUAUCUAUAGCAAGAUUCCUGUUGAGUACAAAAUACUGAACAGUAAUGCCAGGUCUAACCACUUUACACAUGGAAAGGUACAUUUAUCCUAAACAAUGCAAGCCGGUUAUAACUUAAUUAGUCUAUGAAAGAUGAUGCAGGACCAUAGAGAUAAUCGAGGAUGUGAUUCCAUUUUGCUUGUCUUAAGGAAAAAGGAGUAUUAGAUCAAGGAGAAGUAUUGGACUAUGCGUAGGAAUACAAGUGAAGGCAACACCUAUGCUAUUCAUAAAUGAUUCUACGACUGGCAGACCAAGACACUGCUUCAAGUACUGGCCCAAUAACAAAAGACUAAGCUUUAGAAUACACAGGACAUGCAAAAGCUUAGUUCCUGGACAUGCGCACACUGGACAUGUAAAAGGUUCCACUAAUUGUAUGCAUAAAAAGGCUAAGCACAUUCAGGAGAAGCAUAGUUCAUAUCUUUACUGCAGUUUCAUUUGCAUGAAGCAUAUAGGAAACAAAAUUCUAAAUAAAGUUUCAAUGUUCUGAAAUAGCAACAAGCAUGUAUCUGAAAGCAAAAUACUAAAUCCAAGACUUAUCUACCAAGAUAAACUGCCCCCCAUACCUCACCCACGCUAAUAUGCAGUGGCAUCUAUCUAUUAUAUAUUAAAAAGGAAAAUAGGGAUCAAGAAUAGAGGAUUUACUAGAAAUUCUCACAUUAAUCAGACACAUCGGACCGUUAGUUUGGUGGACCCUCCAUUAAUGAGUAAAUUACGACCAUUAGAAAGGCAGACCCACACCAAUUUUGAUGUAUGACGUCCUGGACUUGAACUCUUGAUUAGUUCAGUAGAUAAAAAGAGAUCAUUUUUAAUUCUGCUUGCGUGACAACAAAACAGCGGCGUCCCGUGGUUAUCCAGGAAAUAAAAGAGCAGCGUCCUGUAGAAAAAAGCAGUGGCAACUACGUUUAUUCACAAAGGAAAAAAAACAUCGGCAAGGGCAUGGUC